rnacentral:piRNA from 1 species
UUCCUAAAAGUAAGAAAAUGCAGAGGUA